rnacentral:rRNA from 1 species
UACGGAGGGUGCGAGCGUUGGUCCGGAAUCAUUGGGCGUAAAGGGCGCGGUAGGAUGGCACGAUCAGCGUGCGGUGAAGGCUCGGGGCUCAACCCCGGGUCGGCCGGUGCGAACUAUCGAGCUGGAGCACUGUAGAGGCAGGCGGAAUUCCGGGUGUAGCGGUGGAAUGCGUAGAGAUCGGGAGGAACACCAGUGGCGAAGGCGGGACU